GUUGAACGCUGGCGGCGGGCCUAACACAUGCAAGUCGAACGGAUGGACGGUGCUUUCGUGUGGUUCCCGCGGGGGAAGGGUGUGUGUAGCCUAGGAAUCAGCUUGGUUUUGCGGGAGAACAUCCGCAGACGGGCGGUGCUACUGCAUGCUACGUGCUGGUGCAACAGGGGGGGCUUCGGACAUCCCCGUCUCUGGUGAAGCGAGGUCGGGUUAGCUAGUUGGUGGGGUGAGGGCCUACUAAGGCGACGAUCCGCAACUGGUCUGAGAGGAUGAUCAGUCACAUUGGAACGGAGACACGGUCCAGACUCCUACGGGAGGCAGCAGUCGGGAACAUUGGACAAUGGGCGAAAGCCUGAUCCAGCCAGGCCGCGUGUGUGAAGAAGGUCUUCGGAUUGUAAAGCACUUUUAGUGGGGAGGAACGGCAGUAAGCUAAUACCUUGCUGUUUUGACGGUACCAACAGAAGAAGCACCGGCUAACUUCGUG
rnacentral:rRNA from 1 species